rnacentral:rRNA from 1 species
UAAUUUAUAUUUUAAUUAAGAUUAUUAGAAAUUUAUUAUUUAGUUAUGAUUGGGGUGAUUUUUAAAGAUUAUUAAUCUUUAAAAUUUUUUAAUAAAAAAGUUCCAUUAGUAGUGAUUUUUUGAUAAAAAUACUCUAGGGAUAACAGCGUUAUUAUUUUGGAUAGUUCAUAUAGAUAAAAUAGUUUGCGACCUCGAUGUUGGAUUAGGAUUCUUUUAUGAUGAAGAAGUUAUAAGGGAGAAGUUUGCUCAACUUUUAAAGUCCUACUUGAUCUGAGUUCAGACCGGG